UCCCAGCCCAGCAUGGCUCCUCCCGGUCACCUCCUGUUCCUGUUCCUGCUUCCAGUGGCCACAAGUCAGACGCCUCCUGCAGGUUCCUGCACCGGAUGUGGGCCUCUGUCCCUGCCGCUCCUGGCAGGCCUGGUGGCUGCAGAUGCGGUCGUGUCGCUUCUGAUUGUGGGAGUGGUGUUUGUGUGCAUGCGCUCCCACAGCAGGCCUGCCCAAGGUGAGCUAACCG